rnacentral:rRNA from 1 species
GACGAACCGUGCGAACGUUGUUCGGAAUCACUGGGCUUAAAGGGCGCGUAGGCGGACUAUCAAGUCUGGGGUGAAAUCCCGCGGCUCAACCGUGGAACUGCCUCAGAUACUGACGGUCUCGAGGGAGGUAGGGGCAUGCGGAACUGUAGGUGGAGCGGUGAAAUGCGUUGAUAUCUACAGGAACUCCGGUGGCGAAAGCGGCGUGCUGGACCUUUUCUGACGCUGAGGCGCGAAAGCUAGGGGAGCAAACGGG